rnacentral:lncRNA from 1 species
GAGGAAAGCACGUCUAGUUCUUAUGAGCAUACUGAAAUUUCGGUAAGUUUUGCUUUCGUUAAUUAUUGUAGGCAAAGGAAAUCAACAGACAGCACAUACAGCAAUUCCAAUUGAGAUGUAAGACCUGAAUACUUUUGUACAAAAAGGAAAAGAACCUACUCAAGAUUGAAAUUACAUUAACGGUACCAAUUUUACUGCACCAGAUGCGCAUUUCGACAAUUAGUGUCUCUUCAGUUUUGCUCAAGACUGAACGUUUUGAAAAACCAAAAGCCUUAUGCAACGUUAAAGAGCAAAUAAUCAGUUAAGUCAAACAAAAAUACCAAAUCAGAUAUAUGCAAGAGCGAAAUACAUACCUAAAUCUAACAUGGUUUUAAAGUCAUUCUUGUAAUUUUUACCAUAAUGUUAUACGUUUUGAUACUUAACCUAUUAAGGGUAUUAAAUAACUAAAUGGUGAAGAACUUUCCUUUAAUUUUUUUUUUUUUAAAUAUUAUAUUUCUUUAGAGAAUGAUUGUAUUUUUCAUGUAGAUCCCAAUAAUGUGAGUUGGUUAAGGGUCCAAUUUGAUCAAAAUGAAAUAACUUUAAAAACUGAUCUUGUGAAAUAUUAUUAUAUAUAUAAUAAUAUUAUUAAUAUGGUUAUAUGGUUAAAACAGCAGAUCAGUGCAAAUGCAAAACACCGAGAAAUCACAAAUAUUUGUAGGUUGCUUGUCAUAGAUCCCCUUCUUUACCAGUGACAACUUACUGUUUGUUCAAUAUUAGGAAACACUCACCAAAUAUUAACGUUAUAGCAGGUAGUGGCAUUAUAAUGUAUAUGUAAUAACAUCAGAAUGCUUGUUAUUUUUAUAUUUCAAAUCGUUCAUUUAAAACAAUAUAACAAUUAUUAUAUUGAGACCAGUAAUAAAAAGCAGAAGAAAUAGAGUAAAUGCUUACCUCUACGAUGUGCAUUCAUAUGUUUGUUUCGAAAGAAACAUGUUUUCCAUAUAAAAUCAUACAUGUAAAAACACAGUUAAUGAAUAUACAUAUCAAUGUGUUUCUAUCACUAUAAAGUUCAAUUUUGUCAUUAACUAGGAACAAUAUCAGAAUUCCAGAGUUAGUGUGUUGUGCUCAUAUUAUUACGAAAUGGAAUUCAUCUUCCACCUCUUAAUGACAUAUGGGCACACUGUAUUUUCUGAAGGUGUUUUAUCUUAUCUACCACGUUUAAGAGCUAGCGUGCUGCUACUUAUUUCUAUUAUAGUAUAGUUUUUAAAAUAGUUUAAGUUUGAACUUUCCACAAAGUUUUCUAUAUGUUUCUAAAUUAUUUUAGAUAACGAAUUUUCAUUAUUAAAAAAAAAAAUAAAAAAAAAAAAGACCAUCAUUCCUGAAUGAAUUUAAAUUUUCAUCUAGCUUCUUUUUUUAAAAACAGACAGUGAUCGUGUUUUAAAGGGUAUUUAGAGAAUACAUUUUGAAGCAAAUCCUGCGGGUUUUCGCUAUAAACAUUAUCUAGUAAAGACUCUUUUGAGUUUAAAUCCUAUAGAUUACUUUAGCGUAUUUAUAUAAGCGGUGAACUCAUAAACUUCGCAUUAUAAGUAGGUUGUAUGAGAAACGUGACGAGGAAAUAAUUCUUUAAAACUUUGUUGUUUAUGAUAUCAGUUCGAAAUAUAACAUAAAAACUAGUUUCAUUUUACAGAAAGUGAGUAUAAAAACAAUUUGCAUUUGAAAAAUAAGGAAAUGAAAAUAAAUAAUUUCUUUCAAUAUAAUUGGUUUUGUUGUUGUUCAAAUACUAUAAUUUCCGAACCAAGGAAGUACUUAUGCCUAUCCAUAUCCCCAUCUAUUUUUUUCUCUGGCGACCCAAGUUAUUCUCGGUUUCGAUAAACAGACUCGCACUCGAACUAAUGAAAGCUUUUAUAGAUUAAACAUACUGCGGGGGACAAUUUUAAUUAACUGCGCAACUAUAUGCAAUGUAAAGUUGCACAACAACAUAACUGACGAAAAAAAAAACCCGAAACAAUUUAUCAAAUAUGUCUAAGGAUUUUCUUUAAAGUUCAAGAAGCAAAUUAUAGUGAAUUGAAUGGUUUGUUUUCUACAGAUAAACCACGAUACCAGAUAUGCUACGAAGGGUUUUACAUGCUGCAUUGGUAAUGCCUUUUACAGCAGGAUUAGUAACGAAGAGGGAAAAUGGCGGAUUUUCGGUUCAUGAUGCAAGUAUAUCCGGACUUGUUCUCUUAACGACCCUAGUUAUAGCAGUUCUUGAAGUGAUGUUGAUAUUUCCAACCAAACAUUCUAGAUGGUUGAUGGUUGGAAUACUAGCUCUCGCCAUAUGUUUGUUAAUCGCUUGCAGCUUACUAGCUCACAUAAAAAGCGAUUGGAAGGUUUUUCAUAGACGACAAGUUACACACAAACUGAAAUUAGCGUUUCUGUGGCUCUUUUGCUUCGGAAAUAUCGUAUCACAGGCAAUGAAAUUAUCUCUUCAUAUUCAAUGUAAUAUUCAAUGUAAUAUACGUGAGUCGUUAUCACAGAAAGCAGUAUAUUAUAUAAUUACUUGGCUUUUCGAUCUUGGACAAACCAUAUUCAUUGUUUAUUUCUCACGAUUCAGAUUUGCAAAUAUUAAGUGUUUCUAUUAUAUACUGAUGUUUUUGUUUGUUGCAAAUAUUUCUUUGUGGACACAUAAAAAUGUAGACUUGUACUUUGAGGAGAAAAAUGACAUUCUAAAUAAAUCUGAACACCUAUGCAACAACGCAACAACUCUAUACAAAGCAGAAAAGAUACUUAAACCAUUCCUGGAUCCAGUGUUGCUUGAAUAUUGUCUGUUAAGUUUGAUAUUCAUUUCUCACAUGUGGCCAAAGCAGAAAGUGCCACUUGAUACAAUGCAUUUAUUAGAUUCUGCCUCGUUUUCUCAGGAAAAUGGAGAACAUUUCUCACUUUUAUCGGGACAUAUAACAGCUUGUAACAGACAUAUGAAUAGGAAAUCGAAGUGUAUAGUCGGACUAGGUAUAUUAUUUUGUUUAUCCUUCAUCAUAAUCCAGUGUAUUUUAAUGUACAUCCCAAAGUAUAACCAAGCUGGUGGUCCGAAUACAUACUAUCUUGUCGGGAACAUUUUACGAGUACCACUCACAAUCAAGUGUUUUCAUGCAUUAGCUGGAGAACUACAACCGAAGGAAAGGCCGCGGAAAAUAAUCAACAUUCAACAUUUUAUAAUCCUUUCAACAUCUCUUGCUACUUGUGGUUAUUAUAUUCUGGAAAGUCUUGGAAGUCGUAAUCGCCCACAGUUUCACGACAUCAGAAUCCAUCUGAAUACAGUUGUUAGAGUAAUUGUCACGAUUUUACAGACAACUUUUAUCCUACAGAUGAAACAAUAUCGGAAGUUCAGCAGUUCUAAUUCUGUAUUAUCAAUCAGAAACAUUUUUCUUGUAAUGUGUUUUGUAAAUUUCAACACUUGGUUUUCGUAUACAUUUAUUUCUGUACCUUACCAUGCUUACAAUAAUCAACCAGUUUUUAACAGUAAUACUUGGCUGAAAUUUAAGCAUUUCUGGGUUCCGUUUGUUAUGUUUUAUCAUUUUGAAUGCUUUAUAAUGUUUUAUCAUUUUUACAAAGAAUGAAAUUUCACGAUUUGAAACAAAAUUUUAAGAAUAGUCUACAGUUUUAGGCAACAAUUUACAUUGUGUGUCCAAGCU